GCACGCUGCAUGACCCAAAUCAAACGCACCCACGUUUUUUACCUGAACAGGUGCAUUCUGGAUCUUCUAAUUAACCUGACAUGCUGCUGAAGGCGGAUGCUCCAGAGGACACUUUGAGGAGCGCAGUGGGACCAGAGAGAGACACUUGGACAUGUUCUACUGGGAAUAAAGGAGCAGAGACUGUCCAGAGGAUGUCGCGGUGCUGAAGACUCACACAGAUGUUAAGGAGUCUCUGUCCUGCUGCUGCUGCUGCUUGGUGUCAUGUCCGAGGCAGCAGAGCCUGAGACCGAGCCAUGUAACACGGAGGACAGGGUCGUCAGAGUUCACCUGCAUGAUUCAACGAGCGUCUCGUUCAUCAUUUCAUGCAUUCUCCCGUUCGUUAGAUGGAUCAAAUUUUCUCAUUUCUGUUGUGCUCAAAGACAUAAAUCACCAGUUCAAAAUAUCCCUAAAAUCUUCCUCUUGGCAGGAAAGUAAAUGUGAAUCCUCCACAGUUCUGUAUACAUCCCUAAAAAAAUAUCCUUCCAAUGUGAACAGAGUGCCAAGAAUGAUUGU